GGAAGGGUUAUUACCCCUCCUACGUCAUCGUUUAGUGUUUAGCCAAUGGCUAGGCGUCCAGGGUGUAUAAGAGCAUGAGCUACCAGUUCCUUGGCUCCAGUAAUCUGACUGAUCUGUAUUAGUAUUGUAUGAUCUAUCUGUGCUUCAUGCCAACGAGUUUAUCAGAGACUUUCGGCUCCAUCUACUGCAUAGUUUGGGGAUAGUUAUUCUGAGACCGCAUGCUUUGUAUGUAUACUGUUCGAGCGUAAGCCAAGAGAAAAGAACUCUGUGUAACACUUUCUGUUUGUUUUUAGGCAUGCGCUAAGGACAGUACCGACUUUCUGAAUGAGCAUUAUCUGCUCUGUGCUUCAUCAUAAGGCUUUAUUCGUGCUGGGCCUCAUCAGCUGCUGUUCUGUUUUGGGUUGUUUUGUCUAGUUUUUGGUGUGCUGUUCUGUCAUGAGCGAGUCGUCUCAAUUGAACAGCUGAUCGAAUCGUCUUGGGUGAACCGUUCUAAGGCCUGGGCACCUGGGGGCAGACGCGUGACCAAUUAGGUGGUAGGGUCUUCACUGUAGUCGUGGUCUUCUCUGACAUGAGUCGUGGAGUGUGUGCUGUGCUGGUGUGUGUGCACUGAAUGGGCUGCUCUUCGUAGAGGUGAUAUCUUGAGAGUGCCCUUGGGUACGCCCAGGAUCCUCUGCAGCCAUCGUUAGAAAUUAAUAAAUUGAAGAGAGAUUGCUGGUCAACACCUUUUGUACAAAAUUCCCUGCUUUACGCAUGCGCGAGUCCAGACUUGUCCAGACUUGUCUGGUGCAUGCGCAAAAGUUUUCAGUUAGACGCUACUGUCCAGCAUAAUAGUUUGAUACGGAGUUUCCCUGGCUUUAUUCCUUUAAAGUCUGUUUUUCCUUUGUGUGGUAUUGCUGUGCGUUUAUAACUCCAAACCACAUUUUGUGCAUAUUCACACAAAUAAACAUUCAGACUUGACAUGUUCA